rnacentral:rRNA from 1 species
UACAGAGGUCUCAAGCGUUGUUCGGAUUCAUUGGGCGUAAAGGGUGCGUAGGUGGCGCGGUAAGUCGGGUGUGAAAUUUCGGAGCUUAACUCCGAAACUGCAUUCGAUACUGCCGUGCUUGAGGACUGGAGAGGAGACUGGAAUUUACGGUGUAGCGGUGAAAUGCGUAGAUAUCGUAAGGAAGACCAGUGGCGAAGGCGGGUCUCUGGACAGUUCCUGACGCUGAGGCACGAAGGCCAGGGGAGCAAACGGG